UUAGGCAACUGAAUCCAUGCUUGGUUCUUGCUAAAAACACGAGUUCAUGGAUCUGCAAAAAUAAACUCAAGGUUGAAGAAUGAGUGCUUCGUGCGUGAUUCAAAACUCCUAGCCAAUAGGAUCCCGCCAGCGCAUUUUUUCAAACAUUCUAGCUGUUGGCGCGCUUUCUUUUAUUUUAUUUUAUUUUUAAUUUCCUUUUCCUUUCUUAUUUAAUUUUGAGUGAUUUUUAAUUCAUUUUUCAUCCUAUUUUUU
rnacentral:lncRNA from 1 species